GAUGAACGCUGGCGGCGUGCCUAAUACAUGCAAGUCGAGCGAACGGACGAGAAGCUUGCUCCCCUGAUGUUAGCGGGGGACGGGUGAGUGACGCAUGGAUAGCCUACCUAUAAGACUUGGAUGACUACGGGAAACCGGAGCUAAUACCGGAUAAUAUUUUGAACCGGAUGGUUCAAAAGUUAAAUACGCUCUUGGUGACACUAAUAGCUGGAUCCGCGCUGCAUUAGCUAGUUGGUAAGGUAACGGCUUACCAAGGCAACGAUGCAUAGCCGACCUGAGAGGGUGAUCGGCCACACUGGAACUGAGGCACGGUCCAGACUCCUACGGGAGGCAGCAGUAGGGAAUCUUCCGCAAUGGGCGAAAGCCUGACGGAGCAACGCCGCGUGAGUGAUGAAGGUCUUCGGAUCGUAAAACUCUGUUAUUAGGGAAGAACAUAUGUGUAAGUAACUGUGCACAUCUUGACGGUACCUAAUCAGUAAGCCACGGCUAACUACGUG
rnacentral:rRNA from 1 species